GAACGUGCCCUUCAGUUCGGAACAACCAAGGGAAACUUUGGCUAAUACCGGAUACGUCCGAAAGGAGAAAGAUUUAUCGCUGAAGGAUCGGCCCGCGUCUGAUUAGCUAGUUGGUGGGGUAAUGGCCCACCAAGGCGACGAUCAGUAGCUGGUCUGAGAGGAUGAUCAGCCUCACUGGGACUGAGACACGGCCCAGACUCCUACGGGAGGCAGCAGUGGGGAAUAUUGGACAAUGGGCGCAAGCCUGAUCCAGCCAUGCCGCGUGGAUGAUGAAGGCCCUAGGGUUGUAAAGUCCUUUCGGCGGGGAAGAUAAUGACGGUACCCGCAGAAGAAGCCCCGGCUAACUUCGUGCCAGCAGCCGCGGUAAUACGAAGGGGGCUAGCGUUGCUCGGAAUCACUGGGCGUAAAGCGCACGUAGGCGGAUCUUUAAGUCAGGGGUGAAAUCCUGGAGCUCAACUCCAGAACUGCCUUUGAUACUGAAGGUCUCGAGUCCGGGAGAGGUGAGUGGAACUGCGAGUGUAGAGGUGAAAUUCGUAGAUAUUCGCAAGAACACCAGUGGCGAAGGCGGCUCGCUGGCCCGGUACUGACGCUGAGGUGCG
rnacentral:rRNA from 1 species